GUGGGGAAUCUUCCGCAAUGGACGAAAGUCUGACGGAGCGACGCCGCGUGAGUGAAGAAGGCCUUCGGGUCGUAAAGCUCUGUCAUCAGGGACGAACGGCCGGUGGAGUGGAAAGCCACCGGAUUGACGGUACCUGAGAAGGAAGCCACGGCUAACUACGUGCCAGCAGCCGCGGUAAUACGUAGGUGGCAAGCGUUGUCCGGAAUUAUUGGGCGUAAAGCGCGCGCAGGUGGGAUCUUAAGUCCAUUUUGAAAGUUCGGAGCUCAACUCCGUGAUGGGAUGGAAACUGGGAUUCUUGAGUACCGGAGAGGAAAGCGGAAUUCCCCGUGUAGCGGUGAAAUGCGUAGAGAUGGGGAGGAACACCAGUGGCGAAGGCGGCUUUCUGGACGGUGUCUGACACUGAGGCGCGAAAGCCAGGGGAGCGAACGGGAUUAGAAACCCCAGUAGUCC
rnacentral:rRNA from 1 species